rnacentral:lncRNA from 1 species
GUGAUAAUGAAGUGUUCACAAAUGUUUCUUUCAAGAAAAACGUCACAUUUUUUGUUGUGUCCUUUUUGAUCAUUAGAUACAAUGGAGAAUAAACAAUUAGUACCAUUUAAAGCUGAAAAAGAACAACCAGAUAAACUGUUCUACAAAACGUCUUAUGGUGAAGAGCAAUUUCAGGCCAUUCAGGUGAAACAACCAAAAAUGUCAAGUAACUCAAGCAGAUUACAGAAUACUACUAGUGACACUGUCCCAGAAUUAAACAGACUGUAUAAUACAAAACCUGGAUUACGUGAAACAACCAAAAAAGUCAAGUAACUCAAGCAGAUUAC